rnacentral:tRNA from 1 species
GGGCAGGUAGCUCAGUUGGUAGAGCAACGGACUGAAAAUCCGUGUGUCGCCGGUUCAACUCCGGCCCUGCCCA